AAAAAAACACAAAAAAACCUUCAAAAAAGUUCUCUUUCCCCUCAGCACACCCGACCAGGGCUCGUUCAUCGGCCACCGCGCCGGCCGCCAGCCUCCGGUGCUGGCACCGCGGUCUACGGUGGCUGAAAAAGGGGAAAAAUGCCCCUCUCGGCCCUUUCGACCCCUCAAAGCCCGAAUCUGGGUUUAGAUCCUUCAAAAUAUCACUGAAAAAGCCCUAAAUCUCGAGAAAAACCAUUCAGCUUCUGACAGUCUAUCCUUGGAGACGGCUACCUCGGCCGUCCACGGCAUUUCGGACACCAAUACAGGUUGUUUCUAUCUUCCUUUUACUCGUUUUAUUCGUAUAUAGAUAAAAAAAAAGGUAAUAACGGCGAUAGAUUUAAAAAAAAAUUGUAGAUGUUAACCUUUUCGAGUUGAUUUUUGCUCUCAAUGUUGAACUCAGUUUUUGCUGUGAAAAUAAUCUCCCUUUUUUAUUUGAUUUUUUGGAUUCGUAUUACAGUGUAUCUAGGGCUAUUUUAUAGCCAUAAUGAAAAAAAUAUAAGGAAAUAAAUCUGUCCAUAUUGAUUUGAUCUUGCAAAUAUUUGAUUUUAUUUCUUUUCUUGUGUUUAUUCCUUGUAGGUGAAGAUUCCUUGCAGGUGAGGAGUGCGAGGCGGCCGUGCGGCGCGAGUUCACCCCUGAAACCCUAGGGUUUCUGAGUUUUUUUGGGCUAGUGGAUUUGGGCCACUGUUCUUGUAUUUUGGGCAUUGUAUUCUGGGCCAACUUGUUUUGUUCUGGAUUUGUAAAAAACACUGGACUUUGUUUAUGCCGGGUAAAAAUUAGGUAUUACAAUCUUAUCAUACGAGGUUAAAG
rnacentral:lncRNA from 1 species